rnacentral:misc_RNA from 1 species
CGUGCGCAUGGAGGAUCGAGCAAAAUAAAAGACAUAGAAUAGACGGCCAUGCCAGUGCAGGCAACGCCGCUCCACCAAGGAGGCGUGUCUCCCUAAUGCACAUAAAAACGCUCGAGAAGGGCGGAAGCAACAGUGCCCUUCUCUCUUGCCUUCCCCCUCCCCGUCGUCACUGAACACACAGACGGGCAUGGAGGCCCUCGCACCCACUUCCACCAGCAGCGAGGCCAGCAAAGCGCCCGCGUACUUCUCUCCCCACUUAGCGGUAGCCAUGCGCUCCCUCCUACACGAAGCUCAGCGAAAAUAGAGGUGUCCAGCACAUGCAGCGGCCUUAUCACGGAGCAUCGUAUACACGUUCUCUUCCGUCUCUUCGUUGACGCAUCUGAUUACUGCCUUGGCUUCUUUGCAUCGAUUCUUCGCGUGUGUGCGCAAGUCAUACCCAGCCCAUCUUCCGAUUAUGCACAGGUUUUAGCCACCUGUUCCUUUCUGCUGCCCUUGCCGUUUGUGCGACCGCCGCCUUGAGUUAUCAGCCUUGACUCCUCGGGUGUCUUUCUUGCUUGUCCGUUUUGGGCGACGCUUUCCAGACAGGUGUUGAGCCGCGGCCGGUGCUCCGCGGCUGUGGCCGUGGCGAUUGCCGCGUGCGUCUUCGCUGGCCUGGCUCCGCUUUUUUACGAAUGCGUGUAUACUUGCAGCAAGCACACACACAUCUGCUGUUGGGUUUCUGUGAGUGCACUGUUGUUUCCAAAGCUUCCACAUCGCCUCCUCAGUACGCGUUUCUCCUCCGCCUCUUUUUUUUUUUCGUUUCCGCUUCGCCCUUCUUCUGUCUCUGCUGACAGGGGGGGGGACAUUUCAGUGCGCCGUAUCUGAGGGUGCAGUACACCCCCCGCCCCCUAGCCCUGCCAAAUGCCGGGCCACCUCUGGUGGUGACAGGGCCUAGUGCCUACGACGUAGGGGAAGGCCCGAGCGAUGCAUCACUGCUGAUGUCGGCGGUGAGGGGCUGGAUGGCGCUGCGUCGGACCGACCUGCGACCGUGCACACGCUUGCGCCAUCCACGUGAUGGGCAGAGCGUCCGCGUGACUCGAGCGUGUACCGCACCCCCGGCCCUCGCACUGCUCAGUGGUGUGGGGCGGCGGAGCGCCACCGCGAGUGUGUGUGUGUGCAGCACGUAGGGACCGACAUGAUGUGGGAGCGGCUGUGAGGCGGCCUGCGAGGCAGGAUGGGUGGGCGGACAGAGCUUGAGGGCAGUGGGGCCGUUCUCCGAUGACUGAGUGGGCGCAUGGCUGUAACAGCAUCUCCACGGCUGCCUGGCGCGACGCGAUGUGGGGCCAGAUACAGUUGUGUUGGGACAGAGUUCAGCGGUUGCUUUAUGACAGAGAGUGUGGAAGUUGCUGAGAAGAACGAAGUUUUUUCUACGUUUCCCUGUAGGCUUGGCCCGCGCUGGUGAAUGAUUCUGCUAUGAACAUACCCCCAAUCGUAACACAAGCAUAGUAUACGCUCACAUCUUAAGUUGCACGCUCUCAUGCCUCUGCGACAGAAAGCCUGGCGCAGGUCACUGAAAGUUUCCGUUUUUUUUUUUUGGCUGUGGCUCUUGUGCGCGGCUUUGGCGACCCUGCGUGCCUCGCAUCAGCCUUACCACUGAACACAUGUGUCUCUGCCUCUGUCAACCUCUAUCCCUAUUGCCUCUUCUUUCUCGGAUCGGCAUGCUGUCCUCUGGUGCCUUGCUGUAUGUCUACUUAUGUGUGCGUUCCUCUUACCGCCGCCGCUUGCUCGCUUCGGGUCACCACGCAG